ACUCCUACGGGAGGCAGCAGGUGGGAAUUAUUGCACAAUGGGGGAAACCCUGAUGCAGCCAUGCCGCGUGUGUGAAGAAGGCCUUCGGGUUGUAAAGCACUUUCAGUAGGGAGGAAGGUAGUGUAGUUAACACCUGCAUUAUUUGACGUUUACCUACAGAAGAAGCACCGGCUAACUCCGGUGCCAGCAGCCGCGGUAAUACGGAGGGUGCGAGCGUUAAUCGGAAUUACUGGGCGUAAAGCGCAUGCAGGCGGCCUGUUAAGUCAGAUGUGAAAGCCCGGGGCUUAACCUCGGAAUUGCAUUUGAAACUGGCAGGCUAGAGUCUUGUAGAGGGGGGUAGAAUUUCAGGUGUAGCGGUGAAAUGCGUAGAGAUCUGAAGGAAUACCAGUGGCGAAGGCCGGCCCCUGGACAAAGACUGACGCUCAGAUGCGAAAGCGUGGGGAGCAAACAGGAUUAGAU
rnacentral:rRNA from 1 species